GUGACCAAGCGUCUCGUCAACAAUAUACCACUUCCUAUCACAGGGUAUCAUCAAUCCCUUUUUGUGCAUCCGGGAUUGUACGAAUGAAUGGAGAGCGUCUGUCGUAAACCGCUGGGUCCUGCCUAUCGUUUUGGUAGCCCAGCCAAUUGCCCAUGGAGCUCAUUGGGACCUCCUCUUUUUUCAUGAUUAUUUGUUUUAUUUACCCUUGGUUCCCCGGUCGAAUAGGGAGAAUACAUGUGUAUCCACUGCCGCAGUCUUUUCCUGGGAUUUUGUUUUCCAGAACUUCAUUUGAUGUGGAGUGUUGACUGAUGUCUCUUAUGUGGGAGUCAAUAUUGGAAUUUCACUAUUCACCACGACUUAAAUAACAUCCAAAAAAAAAGAAA
rnacentral:sRNA from 1 species